GACAGAGGUGCCAAGCGUUAGGCGGAAUCACUGGGCUUAAAGCGUGUGUAGGCGGAAUGGUAAGUACCUUGUGAAAUCCCACGGCUCAACCGUGGAACUGCUUGGUAUACUGCUUUUCUUGAGCCACUUAGGGGCAACCGGAACAAACGGUGGAGCGGUGAAAUGCGUAGAUAUCAGGAAGAACACCCGUGGCGAAGGCGGCUCUCUGGUACGUGACUGACGCUGAGACGCGAAAGCGUGGGGAGCAAACAGG
rnacentral:rRNA from 1 species